rnacentral:rRNA from 1 species
UACGUAGGGUGCAAGCGUUGUCCGGAUUUAUUGGGCGUAAAGAGCUCGUAGGCGGUUAGUCACGUCGGAUGUGAAAACCCGGAGCUUAACUCCGGGCCUGCAUUCGAUACGGGCUGACUAGAGUGUUGUAGGGGAGACUGGAACUCCUGGUGUAGCGGUGAAAUGCGCAGAUAUCAGGAAGAACACCGGUGGCGAAGGCGGGUCUCUGGGCAACUACUGACGCUGAGGAGCGAAAGCGUGGGGAGCAAACAGG